GCAUAGAUGAUGUCACUCUGAAGUCUGACUGUUGAAUGUUGCUACGUGGUUAUUAGCACAGAAAGAUAACAAUGAACAUCAAAUAAUGAACAACCUCACAUCACAACAGAUGUGCAACCUAGCAUUUAGACAUAGUCGUCUGGUGCCACUCUUCUCUUGAAAGCUAAGAAUCACUGCCUCAAACUCACAAUUGUUGAAGCUGACACCAAUGGAGCUCGGAUCCUUCAAGUAUUCGAAUUCUAGGGUUUUGAAUCGACGGUAGAAAAUGGUAGCACCG
rnacentral:misc_RNA from 1 species